rnacentral:rRNA from 1 species
UACGUAGGGUGCAAGCGUUGUCCGGAAUUAUUGGGCGUAAAGAGCGUGUAGGCGGCCAGGUAGGUCUGCUGUGAAAACUUGAGGCUUAACCUCGAGCUGUCGGCGGAAACCAUCUGGCUAGAGUCCGGAAGAGGAGAAUGGAAUUCCCGGUGUAGCGGUGAAAUGCGCAGAUAUCGGGAAGAACACCCGUGGCGAAGGCGGUUCUCUGGGACGGUACUGACGCUGAGACGCGAAAGCGUGGGGAGCGAACAGG